rnacentral:rRNA from 2 species
CGGGUGAGUAAUGCCUGGGAAAUUGCCCUGAUGUGGGGGAUAACCAUUGGAAACGAUGGCUAAUACCGCAUAAUAGCUUCGGCUCAAAGAGGGGGACCUUCGGGCCUCUCGCGUCAGGAUAUGCCCAGGUGGGAUUAGCUAGUUGGUGAGGUAAGGGCUCACCAAGGCGACGAUCCCUAGCUGGUCUGAGAGGAUGAUCAGCCACACUGGAACUGAGACACGGUCCAGACUCCUACGGGAGGCAGCAGUGGGGAAUAUUGCACAAUGGGCGCAAGCCUGAUGCAGCCAUGCCGCGUGUAUGAAGAAGGCCUUCGGGUUGUAAAGUACUUUCAGCAGUGAGGAAGGCGGGUACGUUAAUAGCGUGCUCGUUUGACGUUAGCUGCAGAAGAAGCACCGGCUAACUCCGUGCCAGCAGCCGCGGUAAUACGGAGGGUGCGAGCGUUAAUCGGAAUUACUGGGCGUAAAGCGCAUGCAGGUGGUUUGUUAAGUCAGAUGUGAAA